CAUUCAGAUGGUAAUCUCAGUAAUUGUAACGCCAAACUGUGACAAAAUUACUCAAUUCAUCAGGAGCUGGAUAUUCACAUUGUGUGUCACCGUUCAGCCUCUGAUGCUCCAAGGAAAGCAGCCUAUCCAAACCUGGCAACAUCCUAUAAUUAUUUUCUGACCCCUUUCAAGUUUGAGAACAUCCAUCUAAUCGGAAGGAGACCAGAAUUGCAUGGAAUAUUACAAAAGUUGCCGAAUCAAUGUCCUGUACAGCCUCAGUAUGACCUCUCAAUGCUGUGACCAAUAAAGGCAAGCAGACAAACUGCCGCCCUUCACUAUUCUAUCUACUUGCUACUCUACUUUCAAGGAACUAUGAACCUGCACUCCAAGGACUCUUUGUUUAGCAGCACUCCCUAGGAACUUACUAUUAACUGUAUAAGUCCUGCUAAAGUAUGUUUCGUGAUGUUUAACUUCUCAAAUUGGACUGGAGUUUAAUAUUCUGGAGAAAUGUCAAAUAAAUCGCAUUUAUCCCA